UGCUAAAUCUUUAGAGGUCUUGUUUCAAAAAGGCCUUUUAGCAACAAUGAGCAUUUUGGUAAAGGGUCUAAGGAAAUUUCUUCCAAGCAUUUUGGUAAUGUUUUUUAUUUUUUAUUUUUUUCCCACAUCCAUUUUCAAGAAAACCUUUGGACACUUCUGUUAAUGGAUCUUUUAAUUUUUGUUUUCAGUUUUGUUCAAUAGUUUUAGACUUCAUACAAUCAUGAAACUUAUCAUUUUCUCUAUUUGCCUUUGUGCAUUUCGCUUAACUAAUUGUCCCUGGUUUUCAAGCCAUCAAGAACCAUAUGAUCAAAUAUUACAUUAAAAAGCUCAUAUCUUUCAAUUGAAUGGUAUCAUUCUAAAAGAUCUGCAAUUUUUUUUGAAUUUUCAAGGCAGCAAAAGCAAGUUGCAAUGGUGAUUAUGUGAAUAUAGAUAAUGAAGAUUGUAAAUUAAAUAUGGAAGCCAUUGAUGAGUUGAUCCUAGACAUAAAUUUGGUACAAGUUUUGGAACCUUAUUGUGAGGACACACCCCCGAGACCACAUGAGGGAAAAUGGCGUCAAAGAUCUCUCAAAGAGCACCCUAAAGAUCCCCUCCGCUUACAACCUAUUGGUCCUGCAUAUUUUUGCCGGGUUACCUUUAUGUUCUCUCCGAGAUAUGGGCAAAUAACGAGACUGUCCAAGAAGCUCUCAAAUUUCGAUCGG